rnacentral:misc_RNA from 1 species
GAUGAAGAACGUAGCGAAAUGCGAUAAGUAAUGUGAAUUGCAGAAUUCAGUGAAUCAUCGAAUCUUUGAACGCACCUUGCGCCCUUUGGCCAUUCCGAAGGGCAUGCCUGUUUGAGUAUCAUGAACACCUCAACUCUUUAUGGUUUUCCAUGAUGAGCUUGGACUCUGGGGGUUUUGCUGGCUCACAGUCGGCUCCUCUAAAAUGAAUCAGCUUACCAGUGUUUGGUGGGUAUCAUGGGUGUGAUAACUAUCUACGCUUGUGGUUUUUCCACCAGGUAACCUUCAGCAGUGGAGGUUCGCUGGAGCUCAUAGAUGUCUCUCCUCAGUGAGGACAGCCCUUUGAAUGUUUGAUCUCAAAUAAGGUAGGACUACCCGCUGAACUUAAGCAUAUCAAUAAGCGGAGGA